rnacentral:rRNA from 1 species
UCACGCGAUCGCCUUACGGCUCAGUAACACGUGGAUAACCUGCCCUGCGGUGGGAAAUAACCCCGGGAAACUGGGGAUAAUGUCCCAUAGGCUACAGAUGCUGGAAUGCUCUGUAACUCAAAGAUUUAUCGCCACAGGAUGGGUCUGCGGCCGAUUAGGUAGUUGUUGGGGUAACGGCCCAACAAGCCUUUGAUCGGUACGGGUUGUGGGAGCAAGAGCCCGGAGGUGGAUUCUGAGACACGAAUCCAGGCCCUACGGGGCGCAGCAGGCGCGAAAACUUUACAAUGCGGGAAACCGUGAUAAGGGAACUCCGAGUGUCCGUAAAUGCGGACUGUCCGUAUGUCUAAAAAGCAUGCGAAGAAAGGGCCGGGCAAGACCGGUGCCAGCCGCCGCGGUAAUACCGGCGGCUCGAGUGGUGGCCACUAUUAUUGGGCUUAAAGCGUUCGUAGCUGGAUCGUUAAGUCUCUUGGGAAAUCUACCGGCUUAACCGAUAGGCGUCCAAGGGAUACUGGCGAUCUAGGGACCGGGAGAGGUGAGGGGUACUUCAGGGGUAGGAGUGAAAUCCUGUAAUCCUUGGGGGACCACCUGUGGCGAAGGCGCCUCACCAGAACGGCUCCGACAGUGAGGGACGAAAGCUGGGGGAGCAAACCGGAUUAGAUACCCGGGUAGUCCCAGCCGUAAACGAUGCGCGUUAGGUGUAUCGAUGACCACGAGUCAUCGAGGUGCCGAAGGAAACCGUGAAACGCGCGCUGGGAGUACGGUCGCAGGCUGAAACUUAAGAUGCGGGGAGCACAGGCGAUCGUUUAAACUGCAGACUAGUCCUUUAGUGAGGUAUCUGAGCUGCCGUAUCAUGUCAUAGCUGUCUGGUGAAAUGUUAUCCGCUCCAAUCCACCACUACCGAUCGAAGCUAAGGUAGCCUGAUGCCUAUGAGUGACUAACUCCAUUAUG